rnacentral:rRNA from 1 species
AACGAACGCUGGCGGCCGGCCUAACACAUGCAAGUCGAGCGAGGACUUCGGUCCUAGCGGCGGACGGGUGAGUAACGCGUGGGAACGUGCCCUUUGCUUCGGAAUAGCCCUGGGAAACUGGGAGUAAUACCGGAUGAGCCCUUUGGGGGAAAGAUUUAUCGGCGAAGGAUCGGCCCGCGUUGGAUUAGGUAGUUGGUGGGGUAAUGGCCUACCAAGCCGACGAUCCAUAGCUGGUUUGAGAGGAUGAUCAGCCACACUGGGACUGAGACACGGCCCAGACUCCUACGGGAGGCAGCAGUGGGGAAUCUUAGACAAUGGGGGAAACCCUGAUCUAGCCAUGCCGCGUGAGCGAUGAAGGCCUUAGGGUUGUAAAGCUCUUUCAGCUGGGAAGAUAAUGACGGUACCAGCAGAAGAAGCCCCGGCUAACUCCGUG